UUUCUGAAAAAUGGAUGGUCUAAUGUAACUCUAAAAACACAAAGAGUCCAGCAAUUAGUUUAUUCGUAGUCGAUCACCCGAAGAUCGGAAGACAGAAUUUUACAACUUCUACAACAGCCGAAUCUAGGAUUCAUUGUGAAAUAAUUCUGUCACUAUUAUAUCACAACUACCCACUUUCAGACAGAAUUCUGGCAAUACGAUAAUUUAAUAUGUAAAGAUAAGCAUACGAGCACCUUUCCACACACACAUUUACACCUCUUACUUGCGUAAAUAUUCGCAACGAACAACGUGUAUAAAAUAAAUACAUUAAGUUGAAAAUUAUUCAGAACAAAUUAUUGUUUACGGUAUUUUACAUGAUGCAUAGUCUGUCCGACUAUUAAUUAUAUGGGUAUGCGAUUUGAGUUAACAAUUACAUUCAAAUUUACUGCUAUUAUCCGUUAGCAAGCCCUUUUUUUAGGUGAGAGGAAAUAGUCGGACUCCUGCGUUGAGAGGGGGAUGGGAGGCGAUUUGAACAGACUUGAACCUCCUGUCGCGCAAAAACUCGCGUCCGAGCCUUCGAUAAAACAGAACUCAUCAGAGGCAGGCUAGGAGUAGAAGGACGUUCGGCCAUCAGAGCGGAAAAAAAGGCUGGAAGCAAGACCACUCUUUUCACGCAGAGUACAUGUUUCUCCACUACUCUGCUUCUAACGGACACUAAAAGACGGUUGUUGGCGCCACUAAGUCUCUCAGUCGAUGGGCGAUACAAAUCUCGUCACUCACAGACACCCCGGGAUACCUCGAUGGGCAGUGUGGUCAUCCGCCAUCCAGUUGCUCUUUCGUGAGCCGCGUAUCAAACGUCAUCUUCUUGAGUCCCCCUCACAGGUGCCCAGAGCAACAUAUGGACUUAAUAUACUUAAAGGACCAGGAUUGAAACGAGAAACCCAUCCUGGUCCCCAGCUCAUGGCAACAGGUUGGUGCUGAUAGAGAAGAACCUCCUCUCUUACGCAUCACCACCGCCUGAUUAUGCAAUAUUGCAAGAUAACUUGCAAAAAUCAAACAUCGGCGGCAACAACUCGUGGCGUAGUGCAAUCCCAUCAUUGCUUAUAAUUUUAAGAAGAUACAAUGUGUGAUACAAUAUUAUUGGUAUCGGUUGUUAUAUAUAUCGGUAGGGUUACGCGACCCUAAAAAAGUCAAAACUACAUUAAUGUAUGUGAAUAUAGCAGUUAUAAAUCACAAAGAACAAAACAUGCCGGAAAUAAUAUAAUUCACUAAAAGUACUUAAUGGUCAACUGCGAAGAAUUAUCGACGACAAUAAGCCGGAGUAACGGUGUACAGUUACCGUUCGAUAAGACUCGCCGUCGGGCGCGGCUCGUGUCGAAACAAUUCUAUCUUAACCCAGUUACUGCUGUUACGUGAAACUAAGUUCAGAUUUUCACAAGCAUGCUUCUAUAGAAACUGGUGAAGUAACAAUAAAUCGUCUGCUGCAAUAAAUCACUGCCAUCCUCUGGAUUCUCCAAUUAUAUACAAAUACUCUAUUAUUCAACCUUGAAAACAGGUUCUGCGCGACUUGACCGCAAAAACAAAGAGUCUGGAAUGUUAACGAAUUGAAUUUUACAUAAUACCGCCACUUUAUGAAAAUGCUGUCGGUAAUGCGAUAAGGCGUUGGCUGCUUGGCAUCUCCUAAAUGGCUUGAAAUACUAAGGUAUGCAUUCUAAGACAACUCAAGUUUUCAAUCGCCACAAACUUGGUACUACGACAGCAAAGCGCGCCGAAGUGCAGAUAAUCUGGAAAAGUACAGAAGUACUAGUUAUAUAGACGGCAAAAGACGUCGGGAAAGAAGAAGAAAUUGGUCAGACCAAGUGGCCGAAGAACUCAGAAUGCCAAUUGGUCUCGAGCUCUACAGGCCAAACAUCGUAGCAAGAGAAGGAGUUUGCUGUAGCGCUUUGCAUUGCGAAGUCACAAUCCUCUUUAUUGAUGAAACGAUUUGAGGAGGAGGAUUACCAAGAAAUUGCUAAUUAAAUUAUAACCAUGGAUCGCUCGGAUAUUUUUAAGACGUCAGAUAACGACUGUAAUUAAUGUGUUAAUUAAGAUUAAGGCGUAUUUUUUGCACAGACCAAAAUAGAUUCACAAAUUAUUAAAACAAAUUGCGAAAUCCGAAUUGUUUUCAUCAAUAAUCCGAGUAAUUCUAUAUAAAAACUUGUGAAAUUCACACCAAAACUGAACUGCAUUUUCUGAUCUUUUUACUGGAAUAUAAACGCAUGAAAAGAUCCAUUGUUUUAAAUUGUGAAACAAACCCAGUUACGUCUACAUCAUAUCACGGAUACAAAGAAUAUGCAGUAAUUAUAAAUUUCCCACGAGCUUAGUCAAUCACUAAGCUAUCUCGGUUCAAUAUUAAUGAGUUUUUUGCCAAUUCUUAACGCAAUAAUAUUACUCCCUCAUGAUUUACAACUAGGUAUUACUUUGUCUACAAUUUUUCGCGUAAUAAAAUAUCCAAUAAGCACUGAAUUAAAUUUUACUGAUGGCUGAAAUGAAUAUCAAGAUUUAACUUUAGAUCGUUUUCGAAAACGACACAAAAUCUAUUACAUAAAACAAUGCUCAUUAUAUCAUCUAUAUACUUUAGACCUCAAAACAAAAAUGAAUAAAGAUCAAAGAAGAUUUAAGACUUCAAAUUCGGUCCGGGACCUUUGUGCGCUUCUAAAACCUUAAUCUCAAAACUAUUUAAUAACAAGCCCCAGAUAUUAUCUACUGUACGACAUUAUAUACCAAGACAGAUCUAAGAUCAAGGUAGGCAGCGGCUUGGCCCGGUAGGCAGCGGCUUGGCUCUGCCCCUGGCAUUGCUGACGUCCAUGAGUAACGGUAACAACUUACCAUCAAGUGGGCGGUAUACUCGUUUGCCUGCUCGGAAAAUAAAAAAGAAUAAACAAUUGAAACAAUUAAAUUAAAACUCCCAUAAAUGUUUUAUACCAUAGUUUAAUAGUUCUGGGUUAGACCUUAUGAAAACGAAAAUACCCGAAAUACUAAGGUUCGUUUACACCAAAUUAAAUAAAUAAACAAUAAUUAUUUUAUUGAACGUGUCAGUAAUGAAUUAAAAUACUCAAAAAUAUUUAAAAAAAUGUCAUUCGUCUACAAACACACGUUAUGUUCAUUUUAUUCAAGUCUCAAUCCACUUUUGCUUAAAACUCGAAUGAUUUAAAAAAACAAACGACCUGUUUUGAAUCAAUCAAUUAAUUCAUUUCAAACAAUCAAUUAUUAUUUUUUUCCUUUAACUCGCUGUCUAGAAGUGAUCGAUUUAGCAAUAUGACAUAAUAUUUUUACAUUGUUUAAUUUUAUUUUGCAUUACUUGGUGUUGCCCUUUAUAUUUUAUAAUGACGGAGAAAUAAUUAAGUAAAAAAAUAAGUUAUGGAGUAUCUUCGAAAUUAUUCGUCUUGGUGAAAUAUCUUUUUAUAUUCCUGCGUACAAUAAGCCAUAAACAUGUCGUAAUGUUCUAGUUUUAAAAUUUACAACAAAUCAAAAACCUUAAUUCGGCUGUUUCGAUUUGCAAUCUACGCCUUCCGCAUAACAUCAGAGCUUUUUACUCAAUGACACAGAUUAAAUAAUAGUUUUAACUGUUACAAAAUAACGUUGGAUAACCUCUUUUGUUGUAAAUUCUUAAUGUCAUUUCGUGUUUAAUAGUUACUGUGUUUUUACUAUUUAACCGCAUUUAGUCUUUGUCAAUAAAAAAGAUACUAAGUUUUAAAAUAUGUACAUUUCAUUAUUUUUGGCCGCAUUUGCUAUUUUAUAUUCAAAAUUUAAUUUAAAGACAUAUUACUACGAUAAAACCACUAAAAUUUUAAAAUGUGUAAUUUAACUAAAUUAAAAACAAAUAAUUCAGAUCUAAUGUAUAAAAAUCCUUCGUCUUACAACGAACAUUUAAACAGUCGAAAUCUCCAAGCAUAAAUUCCAAGUUUACAGAGGAAUUCUUAGGAGGAGGAUUCACCUUGACGUGUAGGUUAGUUCACGGGACUCAAACCGGAUGUGAUGCUAGCACUGGCCCUAGCAAGAGCAGUGCUUCGCAGAAUCUACCACCGGAUCGGAAACGCGACCCACUGAGAAGAUCCUAGAAUCUAGAAUACUAGAAUCUAGAAUAACCCCGUCGAGGUUACUAGAAUAGGUAGGAAAAAAAUGUAACAUCGCGACCGGUCACCGAAAUACAGAUAGGAUAAAGGUAGGCAGUGGCUUAGCUCUACCGCUGACAUUUCUGACGUCCAUGAGCAACGAUGACCACUAACCAUCAGGUGGGCAGCCGUAUGCUCUGCCUACAAAGGCAAUAAAUAAAAAAAAGGAUAUUUAUUAAGCAUAUCAGGGGUUUUAGACGAAAUUGUUACUGAUUCUAACUAUAAGUGUAUUUUAUUGGGUUAGAGAAUAUUGCUCCACUGGUACCCACGUCUUGCCUAUUCCGAUCGCGAAGAAUCGCGCGUUCCAGUUUGGAAAACCGUUGUAUAAUACAAUUGGCAUUCGACUUAAUACUUCUGAAGGUGAGCGACGACAAUCAAAUCGUGCAGUCUAUGGGCUCCGAUAACUGCUGAACCUCGAUUCUGUCUAACACGAGUGUAAAUAAAUUAGAACAUUUAUAUCUCGAACAGACGACUCCUUAUUACACCACAAAAACACCCGUAAACUACCAAAAGAUAAGCUGUCGGGACUCUCUUGAAUAAUGCUCGAAUUAUUUUACGUAUAAUGGUUUAUAUUUAGGAACAUUUAAAACGGGGUAAUGCUUAAAUCAAUUUGUCAAAAAGUCGUUCUGUCAUAAUAAAAAGUAGAUUUAAAUACAAAAA